rnacentral:rRNA from 1 species
UACAGAGGAUGCAAGCGUUAUCCGGAAUGAUUGGGCGUAAAGCGUCUGUAGGUGGCUUUUAAGUCCGCCGUCAAAUCCCAGGGCUCAACUCUGGACAGGCGGUGGAAACUACCAAGCUGGAGUACGGUAGGGGCAGAGGGAAUUUCCGGUGGAGCGGUGAAAUGCGUAGAGAUCGGAAAGAACACCAACGGCGAAAGCAACUCUGCUGGGCCGACACUGACACUGGAGAGACGAAAGCUAGGGGAGCGAAUGGG